rnacentral:misc_RNA from 1 species
GGUAUACUAGAAUCAGCCAUAAAGAUCACGAACGAACCACCAUCUGCAAUUCAAGCGAAUAUUCACAAGGCGUUGGAUAACUUUACCCAGGAAACUUUUGAGUCCUGCAGCAAGGAAACCGAAUUCAAAGCAAUAUUAUUUGCACUUUGUUAUUACCACGCUGUACUUGCAGAACGUAGAAAAUUUGGGGCGCAAGGAUGGACUAGCAUCAGCACCAAGAGGGGGCACAUAUAUAAACGGAUUGUACAUGGAUGGUGCACGAUGAGACGUUCAAACAGGAUGUAUCAUAGACAGUCGAUUUAAGGAAUUGUUUCCAUUAUUACCAAUAAUGUAUAUUACGGCGCUUAUACUGGACAAACGAGAUUUAAAGAAUACGUAUGAAUUGUCCUGUGUAUAAAACACGAUCGCGUCCUACUCACGUGUGAACGUUCAAAUUAAGAACUAAGGAGAGAGCUAGUAAGUGGAUUCUUGGUGGAGUGGCAAUUCUAUUACAAAUCUAAUCUUAUAAAUUAAAUUAUGGACUAAAUAUGCAAUUAAAAUAAAGAUUUUCGAAAUUGUCAAAGACUGUUGGUAUUCAUUUUUCAAAACACGGUAUUAUUUUAUGCAAGAUAAUAUUUAUGUAACAGAAAAAGUACAACGCUUCUCUAUGCACGAUUACAAUUUAUUUCUCCAUUUUAAGUUUCUUUACAACUUACAAAAAUGUUAAUUCGUACACACAUUCUGUAACAAAAGGAUUCUAUGAUCGCCAAUUUGAAAUUGAGUUUUUAAAUUAAAAAAUAGAAAUUAUUACAAUUUUAUAAAAACAGUUGUUUAUUUGCAAUUAUUAAAAACAUUUUAUACAUGUUAAAAAUUGUUGGUAUCAGUCCUUAUCUUCUAUUAAACCCAUAUUUUCUUCUUUCAUAGUAUAGAUCAGUCUCUCCACUCCCAAGAUUUACAAUCUAUGGACAAUCUAUGAACAUUGCUGCAACAAACCAAAUUUCAAAUCUUAAUCUAUUAUAACACAUUACAAGUCAUAUAUAUAUAUAUAAAUGUCAGCACAUUCUGUCUUCCUUGAUAUGCUGUAACUGUCUACAACUUUUGAUUUUAUUUAGAUAUAUUUUCAUAUCUUUUUUAUGAAAAUACUUAUCUAAAUGAAUUAAAAUGAAGCACUCUAUAUGGUACUUUUAUUGCUGGAGUACAUAAUACUUAGUAUAGUAGUGCUGCACAG